rnacentral:lncRNA from 1 species
GUGCAAGGGCAGUCAGACUGCCUCAGACACAACACCCAGAAAUCUUCUAAAGCAGCUGUUGAUGUGUCGGCACGAGGCAACUCACGGAGGCAUACCAAGUACCUAUGACAAGUAAGACCGGAGGAGAGGACCAGACAGCAGGGAAACCCCCUACAAAUUAGAAAGCCGAUGAAGAUGAUUAAAUGACCCUGCGUAUAGUGCGGUUAGACACUAUAACUCCGGUUCUGCAGCAUCUCACCACACAGGAAACAUGUCUCCACUGGCAACCACGUGAGCUGGGGAUUGUUUAUUUACUGCGUCUGUCUGCUGAGAAUAAACUACGCCUCAGGGACUCCUGUGUUCCAGGCUACCUUGUAGUUCAUCAGCCACAGGCAUGAGCCCGAACUGAACUUUAAGAAAUAAGUUUGAUCAGCACCUUGCUUCCCUUUGGCUUGGCUUCUGUGAUAACCCACGAGGCCAAGACUCAGCCUAAAGCCAGUGAGAUGAGAAGAAUUGCUCUGUCACAUUUUGGAGAAGGGUGUCUGCUGCUUCCAGCCAGACCACGCCCCCAACCUCCAACCCCUGCAAGACAGACAUCUAUACACUGCCAGCAUUAUCUUGUGACCAUAAGGAAAGAUAUCCCUGGAGGAAAGCAGUCACAACAGACACAGACGAGAGAGGCAGAGAUAAGCAAAAGCGUUGGCGAGCCACUGGCCACCUGACCCACCUCUGUAACGUCUCAGUUGCCUAAGCUAAUAAAGACCUUACUGUUUUAGCUAACGACACACUGUGUAGCUCAGACUAGACUCAACGUUGGCAUCCUUCUUUGUCAUUCAUUAUUCCAGUUCAAAGGUUUUCAAAGAGUUACGGCACAGUGGCUUCUUUCUGAAGUCUAAACUUCUGAGAAUUGCUCCAAGCUUGCAGGAUGAGAUGGGAAACCAUGAAAGACCCACACAGCUAUGUUGUGGAUUCUUAGGAACUCCCUGUACUGGAGGAGGCGGCGAAAGGGCAGCUCAAAAGGAAAACAAGAGCAGCUUGGUAACCCCUGAGAAGCCUCUGUGCAUGUGGUCUUGUGUACACAAACAGACAUGAAGCCUGAGAGCAAAGCUGAAAAAUACAAUCACUGUGGUUUCUGGAU